rfam:Anopheles dirus strain WRAIR2 unplaced genomic scaffold supercont1.1007, whole genome shotgun sequence.
CCUUCGAUAGCUCAGUUGGUAGAGCGGUGGACUGUAGAAUGUGUGUAAGGAGAUCGGUGCAUAACAAGUAAUGUACUCCAUGAUCAUCUCUUAAAGCAAUAGAAAUCCAUAGGUCACUGGUUCAAAUCCGGUUCGAAGGA